GAUGAACGCUGGCGGCGUGCCUAAUACAUGCAAGUCGAGCGAACAGACGAGGAGCUUGCUCCCCUGACGUUAGCGGCGGAGGGGUGAGUAACAUGUGGAUAACCUAUCUAUAAGACUGGGAUAACUUCGGGAAACUGGAGCAAAUACCGGAUAAUAUAUUGAACCGCAUUGUUCAAUAGUGAAAGACGGCUUUUCUGUUACUUAUAGAUGGUUCCGCGCCGCAUUAGCUAGUUGGUAAGGUAACGGCUUACGAAGGCAACGAUGCGUAGCCGACAUGAGAGGGUGACCGGCCACACUGGAACGGAGACAGGGUCCAGACUCCUACGGGGGGCAGCAGUGGGGAAUCUUCCGCAAGGGGCGAAAGCCUGACGGAGAAACGCCGCGUGAGUGAUGAAGGUCUUCGGAUCGUAAAACUCUGUUAUUAGGGAAGAACAAAUGUGUAAGUAACUAUGCACGUCUUGACGGUACCUAAUCAGAAAGCCACGGCUAACUACGUG
rnacentral:rRNA from 1 species